CGCUAAUAUACCUCCACGGCUCCACGCGAGAGUAACUUAGCUUACCACCCGUCAAUUCUUUUUUGCACUUUAUCAAUAACUCCCAACCAAUCUUCCUUUCUCAGAGUCUUACUUGAUAACGGCAGCCCUAAAUAUUUAGGAGGGAACUCCGCCACUUUAAAGGUUAGGAUAUGUGCUAGUUUGCUACCUUUAUUUUUACGCCUUUCCAAAUAGAAAAGCUCUGAUUUAUAUUUAUUAAUCCUAACUCCAGGGGCUCACUCAGUUUCGAAAUUUUUUUUUUUGAGAGAUAGGUAGCACGCUACCCGCUUCGUUUAUUUCAUUUAGAAAUAAAUUUAGCUGGAAAUGUGAAUCAACUAGAAUUCGAACUUGGGUCUCGGAUACCAAUCAUCAAACCCUUUGCCACUUGCUCUAGGGACGGUCGGUCUCAGUUUCGAAUUUUAAAGUACUGAAUGAGAGGGAUUAUAAGAUUUACAAGUAGUCUGGUGUGCCAUGUGGCAUUGCU
rnacentral:lncRNA from 1 species